ACCUAAUCAAGCCUGGGCAAUGGCGGGUGCCCCUCCCCCAGCCUCGCUGCCGCCUUGCAGUUUGAUCUCAGACUGCUGUGCUAGCAAUCAACGAGACUCUGUGGGCGUAGGACCCUCCGAGCCAGUGAGAUGAACCCCGUACCUCAGAUGGAAAUGCAGAAAUCACCGUCUUCUGCGUCGCCCACGCUGGAAGCUGUAGACCGGAACUGUUCCUAUUCGGCCAUCUUGGCUCCUCCUCGCAGGUACAGAAUCAAGCAAGAAUUGGCUAGGUGAUUCUUCUGCUACACCUGGCUAGGCUUGGCCGAAGCUCAGGGACAGCUCCUCUCAUAUGCCUGGUACCUUGUGGAUAUCUGGAAAACUGAAUUCAUCAAGGCCCCUUUCCCUCAGUGCUGUUGUCUCUCACCUGGUUUCUCUAGUUCUUGUGUAAGUAUUUUAGUGUGUGAAUAGUUGUUUAAAUGUUUCUGCAAGAGGAUGUGCACUGGAAGGUUCUAUUUCAUGAUCUUGACAGUGUCACUGGAGCACCCUCCUGGAUGCAUUUCUGUAUCUUCAAAAGGAAUGCCGGUUAAAAUGUUAAUAAAGUCUCUGAGCAAAGUUGCCUAUACAUAAAAUCCCAGCUACUUGAGAGACUGAUGCUGGAGGAUCCUUGGAGCACAGGAGUUUGAGGUUUCAGUGAGCUAUGAUCAUGCCACUGCACUCCAACCUGGGUGACAAAGCAAGACUUCAUCUCUAAAAAUAAAUAUAAAAUGAAAUAAAAUGUCAAUGAAAUAAUGAUUA
ensembl:lncRNA LINC02428 long intergenic non-protein coding RNA 2428